CCUACGGGAGGCAGCAGUGAGGAAUAUUGGUCAAUGGGCGCGAGCCUGAACCAGCCAAGUAGCGUGAAGGAUGACGGCCCUACGGGUUGUAAACUUCGUUUAUAAAGGAAUAAAGUGAGGCACGUGUGCCUUGUUGUAUGUACUUUAUGAAUAAGGAUCGGCUAACUCCGUGCCAGCAGCCGCGGUAAUACGGAGGAUCCGAGCGUUAUCCGGAUUUAGUGGGGUUAAAGGGAGCGUAGAUGGGUUGUUAAGUCAGUGGUGAAAGUUUGCGGCUCAACCGUAAAAUUGCAAUUGAUACGGGCAGUCUUGCGUACAGUUGAGGUAGGCGGACUUCGUGGUGUAGCGG
rnacentral:rRNA from 1 species